GGUCUGCAGUAGCAGCACUAUCCAUCCACCAUCAUGCCAGAAUGUGGCCUUCCGCGUGUUUUGUAUCCGUCGUCGUCGUGACGUCUACUACUACCAUACAUAAAACAUACAUUACACAUCGUGUGUUGCCCGAGUAUUCAAUGCCCGUAGCUAUGACUUGUAGAGGGUACUUGGGAAUAUUACGGUAUGAGGAUGUGGCAGGUUUACGGUCCAGAAAAAACAACGGUCAAAAGAAGAAUGAUUUUCUAAAUUAAGACUGUACAAGUGCAGCUGAGGUCAAUCGAGACGAACAAGGUUAAAACAAUGUCCUUCUUCAAUGGACCACAAAGUGAUUUAGAUAGAAUUUAUCUACCGCCAAAAUGAGUUACGUAUUAUCUAUGGAAAUCGGAAGAAUUGUACGAAUUAAGCAUUAAUAAACGGUGUUCGAUAA
rnacentral:lncRNA from 1 species